rnacentral:rRNA from 1 species
GAUGAACGCUGGCGGCGUGCCUAAUACAUGCAAGUCGAGCGAACAGACGAGGAGCUUGCUCCUUUGACGUUAGCGGCGGACGGGUGGGUAACACGUAGGUAACCUACCUAUAAGACUGGGAUAACUUCGGGAAACCGGAGCUAAUACCGGAUAAUAUUUCGAACCGCAUGGUUCGAUAGUGAAAGAUGGCUUUGCUAUCACUUAUAGAUGGACCUGCGCCGUAUUAGCUAGUUGGUAAGGUAACGGCUUACCAAGGCAACGAUACGUAGCCGACCUGAGAGGGUGAUCGGCCACACUGGAACUGAGACACGGUCCAGACUCCUACGGGAGGCAGCAGUAGGGAAUCUUCCGCAAUGGGCGAAAGCCUGACGGAGCAACGCCGCGUGAGUGAUGAAGGUCUUCUGAUCGUAAAACUCUGUUAUUAGGGAAGAACAAACGUGUAAGUAACUGUGCACGUCUUGACGGUACCUAAUCAGAAAGCCACGGCUAACUACGUG